AGAGUUUGAUCCUGGCUCAGAGCGAACGCUGGCGGCAGGCUUAACACAUGCAAGUCGAGCGCGUGUAGCAAUACACGAGCGGCAGACGGGAGAGUAACACGUGGGAACGCGCCCUUCGGUUCGGAAUAACUCAGGGAAACUUGAGCUAAUACCGGAUACGCCCUUACGGGGAAAGAUUUAUUGCCGAAGGAACGGCCCGCGUCCGAUUAGCUAGUUGGUGAGGUAACGGCUCACCAAGGCGACGAUCGGUAGCUGGUCUGAGAGGAUGACCAGCCUCACUGGGACUGAGACACGGCCCAGACUCCUACGGGAGGCAGCAGUGGGGAAUAUUGGACAAUGGGCGCAAGCCUGAUCCAGCCAUGCCGCGUGGAUGAUGAAGGCCCUACGGUUGUAAAGU
rnacentral:rRNA from 1 species